rnacentral:lncRNA from 1 species
CUGAGAAAUACUGUCUGCAUUGUACAAGAUAUCCUUUGUCCAACUGUAAAGGGCCAAAAACCACCCCUUAUUACAUAAAAAAACAAAUCUGAUGAAAAAGAGAACAAAAGAGAAUUAAUCCCCUUUGGAAAUCAAGAUCCAUGAAAUGAGGAGAUCAGGCAAAAAAAACAGAGGAACCCAAUUCAGGUUUUCAGAUCUAUUGCUAGAUGGAAUCAAUAGAGGGGAGAAAUUCAGAGCAUACCUUUUUAUGAAGGGAGGGGAAAAGGGUGUGUUUUGGGUUGGUGUUCCUUCUCCGGCGGUCAGCUGGACGGUGGGGAAUUGUCGCCGGCGGCGAAGGGGAUGAAGGAGGGGGAGGGGGAAUUAUACAGAGGGGGAAAAGAGAGAGGAGAGAGGAAAAAGAAAAAUGUAGUUGGAGAGCUGGUACUUAUAGUGAGAGAAAUUUGGAGUGUGUAAGAAAAAAACCGAACCGGUUUGAGUUGGUGACGUGGC